UCAAGCCUUACCCAAUUUGAGUAUGAGACUUGGUGUUUCCCGGUUCUAGACAUACUAGGAUUUGCUAACAUUAUGGACUGAUUUUCUUUCAAAGUCUACGUCUUCUUUUAUAAGGAUUUCAUCACAUUGCCUAAUUCAUGAGAAUAGCUGCCUGAAUGGGAACUCCUUGGCUUUAUGUGUUAUCAGCAGACACAUGACUGGAACCGAAAACACAGAGGAAGUUGUUUUUUCCUGCUUAAAUGACCCUGCAUUGGAAACGUCUCUUCUGAGAACUGGAAGUAAUGAAUGGCCAGGUUCCUGAACAAGAAGUGGAAAACAUGGAGUUAUGUGAUCUAAGGGAAGAAAAAGAGGAAGAAAGUGGACCUGGUGUUGAUGAGCCUCUCAAUCAUGGAGUCACAAGAAUUUCUGAGACAGCUACCUCACGCUCUUGUUCGGAGAUCAUUUUUUGGAAAUGCAAACUGUGGAUGGUUAUAACUUCAGCUUUCCUGUUGUUGAUUCUUGUGAUUAUUAUAAGUUUAAUUUUUUAUUCAGAGAUUUAUAUAGAUGAAGAUGAAUACUGGGAUCUCAAAUCAAUAGCAAAUGGCAAUCAUCAUAAUUUCUCUGGAAUUUUAAAAAUUCAGUGUGUCAGUUCUGAUUGGAUUCUCUCAGAACCAGCAUAUCACUUGCUUUCUGAGAAUCUAAGUAAAAGGCUCACAGAUGUAUACAAUUAUUCACCUGCUCUUAGGCGCUAUUUUAUUUCUGCUGAAGUUAUUUCCUUCAGUGAUGAAAACAAAACUGUGUCCUUUGAGCUGGAGUUCUCAGUACCACCUGAAACUGAAGAGUUCAUGAAGUAUGUGAUGAGUGAGACAUUUGUGAAGGACGUUUUAAGGCAAAAUAUUUAUGACCAGGAGGAAAUUUAUGGAGUAGAUGUAACUGGAUGUACUCAUUUGACACUUGAUCCAACUUCUCUUUCAGUUUCAUCAAUACAGGCUAUCAAUACAGACGGGUGAAUUGUACAUGGACUAACUACGGCACUCUAGAAUAGCCUAGGAAGAAUGUCCAGCUAUGGAGCCUGAAAUGUUUCAUGCUAAGAAACAGUUCCAUCUGACUGAUUUACAAAAUGCACUCAGUCCUCUUUCUGUAAACUGCUGUGGUAGCCAUGUGAAAGAAAAUUCAAGCUGUCACUGACUCAAGGCAGCUAAUAAUCAGCAACCAAGUUUCAAGGACACAAACUAUAAAGGCCAAUGAACAAAAUUAAAAUAGAUUAAAACUCACUAAUUACUAAUUUAAAACAUGCAAGGAACAGUAUACUCACAGCCUGAACUGAUGAUGAUCCUCCACCGAAUGAUCUCUGGAACAAGACUGCUUCACAUGCCUUCCUAAUGUAGCAAGUGAAGGCAACCACCUCCCUCAUGCUGGCAGGCCAUUUCAAAGCACUGGGCCCACCAUGGGCAAUAGCAAGAGUUGCCAGCUCCAAACUGAGAAAUUCCUGGAGAUUUGGAGGUAAAGCCUUGGAAGAGCAGGAUUUGGGGAGGGGAAGGACCUCAAAGGGGUAUAAUGCCAUAGAGCCCACCCUCUAAAGUAGCCAUUUUCUCCAAAGAGAAUUCUCUAAACCCCAUCUGAAGGAAUGCAACCAUAGUUCUUCCUGUAGCCAUGCGGACAGUCAUACGGGAGGUUACCAGGGUUGCCAGGUCUUCUGGGGGCAAAUCCAGGGGAUUGAAGGUGGUGGUGGGCAUUUACGGCACACUCCCACGCAAAUGAAAAUGAUGUAAUAUCUAAUGUAAUGUCAUUUCUGAUGGGUUGUGCCAGGGGCAAAUUCUCAAAAAUCAGCCCCAAACUUAGUGUUUGGAGUUGAUUUUUAGAAAAUUGGCUCCCAACAUAACCUGCUGCUUCUGCAUUGUGCAAGAAAUGACAUCAUUUUCUGGCAACACAGGAGCAUGUGCACACAAUUGGGCUGUGUAAAUCUCAGGCAGAGCGCACAGAGUUGUCCAGGUUCCUGACCCUCCCCCCACCAGCCAGGUGAGCUGUGGCAAGAGGUGGUGGCUGGCAGCAGCUGGCAGAGGCAACCCUUAAGGAGGAAGCUUAACUUGAGCAUGCAAGUUAAUAGGUGAUUCAUGUUGGUAAGUAUGAGGAGCCAAAGGCUCUAAGGGUAAUAAACUGCUCUUUGAAUUGGCCCUAGAGGCAAAUAAGUAGUCAGUAGGAUUGCCAACCUCCAAGUGAGACCUGGAAUUUUUUGGGAAUCUUCAGAAUACAGAGAUUAAUUCCCUGGAGGAAGUGGCAGCUUCAGAGGAUGGACUUUAUGGCAUCAUGUCCCUGCUGAGCUCCCUGUCCUUCCUCGUACUCUGUCCUCACAGUCUCUGCUCCCAAAUCUCCAGGAAUUUUCCAGACCAGAGUUAGCAACCCUACUAGCCAGUGUCAUUGCCACAGCCCUGGAGUUCAGUGUUCAGUGUUCUGAGCAGUUAACCCAAAGACAAGCCUCGCUGCAGUAUUUUGUAUCAAUUGAUGCUUCUAAGGGUCUCUCUGGACAUGCAGGUUUUCCACAGUAAAUGGCUGUUAAAAAAUAUAGGAGAGCACAAAUGGCCUCAGAAUGCCUCCAAAGGGGGAGGAGAGGCUCCUCCUCCACUCUCAAAGCCAUUUCCCUGAGUUACAAUAGCAUGAGGGAAGCCCCUGCCCCCUGCCUGUUUUUACUGCUCCACAUGCACAGAAUAGGGAAAAAAACUUCCCUCCCCUGCUAUUUUGACAUGGGGAAACAGCUUGAGGCAUUCUGAGGCUGAGGCUGUUUGUACUCUCCUUUAUUUUUUUAACAGCUAUUCUCUAAAGUUCCUGUCUAGCUGCAGGGAACUCUUUAAAAACCUGCACUAACAUGCUUGGCCCUAAGACAUCUUCAACGGCAGCCAAAUGUAGAGCAUGCACAAUAGUCUGAUCUGGAUGUAGCACAGAUCAGUGAAGCCAGGCCAGCAGAAUUUAGAGAAGGGGCCACCAUAUGAGCUAGAUGUGAUUGAUAAAAGGUACUCCUAGCAAUAGCACUGAUGGGCUUGUCCUUUAACAAGGCUGGGUUCAAUCUCCUCAUGAUCCUCCAUGGAAACAAGCCAAACAUUCUGCCUUUCUAACCAGCAUCACCUUUGUCUUGCCUCUAGAUUCAAUUUGUUUACCCUCAGCUACUUGAUCAAGACUUGAGACAAUGGCCUGGAGCUUCUCCGUGUGGGCAGCAACCUCCAGGGGGAGCCUGGAGUUCUCCAAGAAUUAAAACUUAUCACCAGGCUACAGAUACUGAUUCCCCUGGAGGAAAUGGCCACUUGGGUGGGUGGAAUCUAUAGCAUCAUAAGCUCUGCUGAGCUCCCUCUCUUUCCCAAACUCCAACCCCUGACAGUGAGAGUUUCCUAAACUGGAGCUAGCAACCCUAUUCUGGAGGCCUGGAUAAUGAGAUACAAAGCUGGGCGUCAUCAGCGUGUUGGUGACAACUUGGUUUGUAGUUAUUAUGGGGUAUUAUUAUAGCUGAAUUGUGUACUUCUGACUGAGAACAUACUAAAAAAUUCUUUUAAAAGAUGCAGAUGUAUUGUUGGAAAUGGACUUUUCAAACAUGACAUCCAAUGCAUUAUGUUUAGUAUCUUAUAUACAAAAAAAUUACUAAAAAUGAUAUGCUCUAUUUAGCUAUUUAUUGGUUAUUGUGAUGCUUCAGGUGCAAUCCUAAGAAUACUUUCCCGGGAAUAAGACUCAUUGAACAAAAUGGGAUCUUUGGAGCAGACCUGCUUGAGAUUACUCACUCAUUAUUUAUCCCACAAUGUGAAUUAUGUAGGACAAAUAUGCUCUGUUAGGGAGAUAAUCCCUGAGAACCAUUGCAGCAGAUAGCAAUGACUAAUAGCCUAAUUCUCCUGAUUUACAGUCUACUGACAGGAUUAUAUUGCGACCAUCACUACAGCAAGUGUCUGCUUCCUAGCCGCUCCCUGCGAGCUGCACUAACACUAAUUUAAACUAGCACUUUGUGCAAGGCUCUAUGGCUGUGGGCCAUAAAGUGUUUUUGAACACGCACACAUGAAAUUGCCACACACACCCACAAAGAACUUGCUAGCAUACUUCUGGAAAAGCUGCAGCCAUUUGGGAACUAUGUGUACAAUGAUUUUAUUAUAUUAAAAAUAUACCGUUUUUCUUGUCUGAGCGAGACAAUUCCGAGUUUAUUUGAAAUGGUGGGCAUUUAGCAUCCUGGGCCUGAAAACAAAAGUGGUGAAGGAAAGCAGUUCUUAAUUUAUGAACACAUAAUCAUGGUCACUGUUGUCCUGAAGGCUGGGAGAAGCUGUAGUUCUGGGAGAAAUGACAAUACUUGCAUACUCAGUCUCAGUGCUUUUCUUUAUCCUGGGGAUGCUUCCUUUGUAGGUGUGGUCAAUGGUGGCAUAGCAUAUUUCAGUGGGGUAGGUAGAGGCUUUGUCCUCUGUGUCGUCCUGGUAAGAAAGAAAUCAACCGCUAACAUUUAUGCACUUUGAGACAAAAAAAAUUGCAAGUAAGUUUCCAGCACUGCAAUGAUAUCACAAUGAAUUGUAAUCAACACAUUCACAAGCAAAGCACAGCCAUCUUACCAUCCUAAUUUAUGUGCUUUUGUGGCAGUUGUGGCUGGCCUUAUGUGCACUAAACAUGUAAUCUGUUCAGAACUCUCUUACACAGCCUUCAUUCAAGGAAAGUCUCUUGAAGUUGCUAGGCACUGAAGAGCAGCAGAACUUCAUGAACCGACACGGAUGUUUACAUAAUUCUCAAAAUAGGCAACAUUUGCUGUAAAUUCUUGUAAUGGGCCAAUGAACAGGGGUUGUCUCUUCCUUAUACUGUGAAGUUUCUUUUUGGAAUGGAGAAUCUUAAGGUUACAUAGAAUUCAUGAGUCAUCAAGACAACCUCAAACUUCUGUUUAUACUCCUACUUCUUCAACCUCCAAACAUGAUUCUGCCUAACAUUUUAAAGAGGAAAAAGAUGGUGUAAGACAGUAGAGAAUGUAAAAUGCACCAUUGAAUAUAUUUGACUGAUUCCUCCUUCCUGUUAAUCAGUCUGACUUUGUGUAUUGCAAAUAUCUCUAAAGAAAAUUGAAACUGAUGAGACUUGGUUAAAUUCAUAUCAUCAGAUUAUCUUAUUAAGAAUGUGGGUUAAGUGUAUCUAUGUAUUAUGGUUCAGCAAACGCUGAAGCAGUAAUGUAGCUGCUUUAUUAAUAACGAAACAUGUAAUUCAGUUGAAGGACAUAAACUGUGCUCUUCAGGCUCAAACCUGCUAACUGUGCCUUCCUUGAGAAUGUAACUAGCCCUUACCUGCUCCCUUGCUUUUUCUGUAGGAGUUCCACUGCUGUAGACAUGAGCUCUAUGUUUCACAGGAUUUUUUUUUUAAUCGUUCUAUUUGAUUGCUGUGUUCUUUGGGUUAAUGGAUUUUGAAAGAAAGAUGUUUUUACACAUAUGUUGUUAGUCAUCCUGAGCGCUUAGCAGGUAAGGCAGGAGGUAAUUGUUUUAAAAUACAAGUUUAAACUAAAACCUCCAUUAUCUUGGCAAUGUGGUUUAAGUUGUCAGUUACAAAUCUUCAUGUCCCGUAAAAUGCAACCAUUUGCAGAGUUAUUUCAAUCUGAAUCCAUUAAUUUCAAGACUGGAGUAAUUCUGUAUAGGAUUUAUUUGUUUAUUUGUUUGUUCAUUUGUUUGUUUGUUUAUACAUGCAUAUAUACAUACACACACAUUCUACUUUCUCAAUGAGAUUCAAGGUGAAUUACACAGUAUAAGUUAAUACAAUUAGUGGCUGGGACAUUCAAUAAAAAAUAUAAAAGGGUAUGGAUUGCAGACAUUUGAAAAACAAGCAUACAUCUGAAUCCAGAGCUGCAAACAAUGCUAAAACAAAACAUUAGUAAUUUGAUAUGACAUAUUAAACAACAUGGAAACUACCCAGUAGGAGUAUACUUGCAGCAACAGGAAAUACCCAGUAGGAGUAUACUUACAGCGGCAGGAAAUAUGAUCCCUGUCCCUUUUCCAAAGAAUUUUUCUGAGUCAUUGUCUUACAGGACACCCUUAUCUAAAAAAAACCCCUCCUGAAUAAUUCAGUCUUGCAUAGUUUGCAGGAAGUCAGGAGAGUGGAAGCUUUUCUGACCUCUUCAGACAGGCCAUUCCAUAAGGUGGGGGCUAUCACAGAGAAAGUAUGUGUAUGGGCAGCUAUUGAUUUUGCCCAUGUGGUACUUGCAGAAGGCCCUGCUCAGAUGAGUGAAGCUGCCAUGGUGGAGCAUAGAGAGGCCAUCCUGCACAUAUGAGGAACCAAGGCCAUGAAGGGCUUUGUAUGUCAUAGUCAAAACUUUGAAUUGAGCUCAGUAACUGGGUUGCCAAUGGAAUUACUGCAGAAUGCACCACAAACUCUCCUUCAAGAUCUCUGCCUUCCCAACCAGCAUCACUUCUGUCCUGUCUGGGUUCAGUUUCAAUUUGCUUUCAGCCAUUUUACU